UACGUAGGGUGCAAGCGUUGUCCGGAAUUACUGGGCGUAAAGCGUGCGCAGGCGGUUUUGUAAGUCUGAUGUGAAAUCCCCGGGCUCAACCUGGGAAUUGCAUUGGAGACUGCAAGGCUAGAAUCUGGCAGAGGGGGGUAGAAUUCCACGUGUAGCAGUGAAAUGCGUAGAGAUGUGGAGGAACACCGAUGGCGAAGGCAGCCCCCUGGGUCAAGAUUGACGCUCAUGCACGAAAGCGUGGGGAGCAAACAGG
rnacentral:rRNA from 1 species